UCAGAAUAUUGCAGUGUUGAUUUUUUACUGACCUUAAAUAUGAUAAUAUGAUAAUAUUUUGUACACUGCAGCGCACGCUGUUCCCUCCUGGCCAAUAUCACAGGAACUGACAUCUACAGAGAUCGCAAAGACUACAGAUCUAUUUACGAACCUGAUGGGGUUAAAAUAUUCAAAAUUCCCUCACCCAUCUUCUUUGCUAAUACUGAUUUUUUCAAAGACAAACUGGUGCAAGCAGUGGGUUUUAGUCCCCUAAAAGUGUUGAAGAAAAGGAACAAAGCUCUGCGAAAGAUCAGAAAAAUGCUGCUUAAUGGGGAACUGGAGGUUUCAUAUGUAAGUCCUGAAAAAA